CCUACGGGAGGCUGCAGUGGGGAAUAUUGCACAAUGGGGGAAACCCUGAUGCAGCGAAGCAGCGUGAGGGAAGAAGUAUCUAGGUACGUAAAGCUCUAUCAGCAGGGAAGAAAAUGACGGUACCUGACUAAGAAGCCACGGCUAACUACGUGCCAGCAGCCGCGGUAAUACGUAGGGGGCAAGCGUUAUACGGAUUUACUGGGUGUAAAGGGAGCGUAGACGGCUGCACAAGUCUGGAGUGAAAUCCCGGGGCUUAACCCCGGAAUUGCAUUUGAAACUGUGCGGCUGGAGUGCAGGUGGGGUAAGCGGAAUUCCUAGUGUAGCGGUGAAAUGCUUAGAUAUUAGGAGGAACACCGGUGGCGAAGGCAGCUUACUAGACUGUAACUGACGUUGAGGCUCGAAAGCGUGGGGAGCAAACAGGAUUAGAUACCCUGGUAGUC
rnacentral:rRNA from 1 species